rnacentral:rRNA from 1 species
CAGCAGCCGCGGUAAUACCGGCGGCCCGAGUGGCGGUCACUAUUAUUGGGCUUAAAGCGUCCGUAGCCGGGUUGGGAAGUCCUCCGGGAAAUCUGGCCGCUUAACGGUCAGAAUGCCGGAGGAUACUCCCAGCCUAGGGAGCGGGAGAGGCCGAGGGGAUUCCCGGGGUAGGGGUGAAAUCCUAUAAUCCCGGGAGGACCACCUGUGGCGAAGGCGCUCGGCUGGAACGCGUCCGACGGUGAGGGACGAAGGCCAGGGGAGCAAACCGGAUUAGAUACCCGGGUAGUCCUGGCUGUAAACGAUGCGGACUUUGUGUCGGACAAGCUAUGAGCUUGUCCGGUGCCGGAGGGAAACCGUUAAGUCCGCCGCCUGGGGAGUACGGCCGCAAGGCUGAAACUUAAAGGAAUUGGCGGG